rnacentral:tRNA from 1 species
CGGGGCGUAGCUCAGUGGUAGAGCGCGCGCUUUGGGAGCGUGAGGCCGCACGUUCGAUCCGUGUCGCCCCGACCA